GAUGAACGCUGGCGGCGUGCCUAAUACAUGCAAGUCGAGCGAACAGAUGAGGAGCUUGCUCCUCUGACGUUAGCGGCGGACGGGUGAGUAACACGUGGAUAACCUACCUAUAAGACUGGGAUAACUUCGGGAAACCGGAGCUAAUACCGGAUAAUAUAUUGAACCGCAUGGUUCAAUAGUGAAAGACGGUUUUGCUGUCACUUAUAGAUGGAUCCGCGCCGCAUUAGCUAGUUGGUAAGGUAAUGGCUUACCAAGGCAACGAUGCGUAGCCGACCUGAGAGGGUGAUCGGCCACACUGGAACUGAGACACGGUCCAGACUCCUACGGGAGGCAGCAGUAGGGAAUCUUCCGCAAUGGGCGAAAGCCUGACGGAGCAACGCCGCGUGAGUGAUGAAGGUCUUCGGAUCGUAAAACUCUGUUAUUAGGGAAGAACAAAUGUGGAAGUAACUAUGCACGUCUUGACGGUACCUAAUCAGAAAGCCACGGCUAACUACGUG
rnacentral:rRNA from 1 species